CCUAAAGCGUCGACCCUUCCUUUCUUCGUGUCUUCUUCUCCCGAAAUCGCUGACCAGCCACGCGACGGCAUCUCCGCACGAGAGAUCACGACGAUGGUUAGUCCGCCGAUCUCCGAAGCUUCUUAGCCUCCACCCCUUGUCAACAGCAUCACCGGAGGCUCUCCUCUUCGGAUUACUGCCUCGUGCAAGGACCAACGGGCAGGAGGAGCAGAUCCGAACUCCGGAGAUCCGGAGGGAGUAUCGCCGGUUCCGGAGAUCAAGGGUGGCGAGGAUUGGUACCCCGACAGCUAUCUCGCCUUCCCGGGUUAUAGUACUGAGCUGAGUUCAUCGGAUUUCGCCUCACCGCCGGUGGUUUAAGCUGUCGCUGAGGUAUUAGAGUGGCUUACAGUGAGGGGCUCGGCCACAACUUCCAGCCAUUGUUCUUCAUCCAGGAAGCGUUAGAUCUAUAGGAGCUCUGGUCGGUGGAUUUGCGGCAGCAGGCAGCACCAGUGAGCUAUUGCUGGAGAUUACACCUCCUGACAGUGGGUUGACAGUGGGGAGUUCUCAUAAGUAAUUUCACCAGGUAGCCGAUAGCGAUGCUAGUACACUUGGAGGGAUCCCGACUGCCAGUCCCACGUCGCUUCCGAGGACGGAUUUUCGGUUUUGUUUAGAUUUCUAGUUGUGAGUUGAACUUUUGAAUUUGGUAUUGUAAUAACCCUUUUUGGGACUUGAUGUUAUUCUGUGAUUGGUUUUGCUUUGUCGAGGAGUCAAGUCUAGCCGGCCCGCGGUGAGUUCUUUUGGUAUUAUGGUACUUGCUAUUUCAUUUUCCGUUGUGUUUGAUUUACCAGCCGAGUGGGCUGCUUAUUAUCUGCGUGGUUGUGUUUAGUUAUUGCCGUGUUGGCUAUAUUUUGCAUGUGUAUAUCUAUUGGCUAUGUAUAUUGGUUUAUAUGUCACUGCUACAGGGGAGGUGCUGUCCGAUUUUCGUCGGACAACCUUACUCUCGGGGCGUGACAGAAAUGGUCCCUCAACCGCACGCCAAGCUAAAGGAGCUAAUCACCAAACUCACGAAUUUUGAAGAAAAAGUAAUCAAUCAAGAUUCACUAAGGCCAAGAAAAGAAGAAAAAGGAAAGUAAGAUGCUAUCACUGCAAUGAAGAAGGGUACCUCAAAGAUAACUACUCAAAACUGAAGAACAAGGAUAAGGACAAAAGUUCAACCCAGAAAAAGUACAAAAACUUAAAGGCAACAUGGGACAAAAUAUUGUCAUCGGAGUUAGAGAUUGAAACCCACACCGGACUUGUGUUGAUGACAAGUCACCAAGAAGAUGACGAAGCAAACUUAUCCGAAAUGAGCAUCAAGAGCAUCAAUGAAGAGGGAGCAAUGC